CGCUCAGGUGGCCUAGUGGUUGAUGCGUCCGCCUCUGAUGCGGGAGGUCGUGAGUUCGAUCCAUCAGGCGAUUGA